UACAGAGGGUGCAAGCGUUAAUCGGAAUUACUGGGCGUAAAGCGUGCGUAGACGGUUAUGUAAGUCAGAUGUGAAAGCCCCGGGCUCAACCUGGGAAUUGCAUUUGAGACUGUGUAGCUAGGGUGCGGAAGAGGGAAGCGGAAUUCCUGGUGUAGCGGUGAAAUGCGCAGAUAUCAGGAAGAACACCCGUGGCGAAGGCGGUUCUCUGGUACGGUACUGACGCUGAGACGCGAAAGCGUGGGGAGCGAACAGG
rnacentral:rRNA from 1 species